CUUGUGAGGCAGGCACCGGAACCAUGGAGCUACAUCCCCGGCCCUAUUUAUUUCUAUUAUAAUGAUCAGAAAACAUGAUCUGUAACAUCAGAGGUCAGCAAAAUCUUUCCAUAGAGGACCAGAAUAAAUAUCUCACAUUUUUGCAGUCAACUUUUAUUUUUAUUAGUCCAUGUUUGCAGUACAUGAUGAUUACAUUAUGGGGGGGGAGUGGGCACAAGUACAUAACACAUCUUUUUUUUUUUUUUUUUGGUACCGGGGAUUGAACUCGGGUCCUUCCGCUUGCGCAGCAGGCGGUGAAACCACUGAGCUAAAUCCCUGGCCCCACGCAUCUUCUUUUUGUGUCCCCUUCCUCACCCCUCCCAUCUCCCUUCCUCCAUCUCUUCGUAUUGUUCCCAAAGUGACCAUAGACAAUUUGUCAAGAAAUGAAGGUGGCUGUAUUUCAGUUAAAACUUUUCUUACAAAAACAGGGUGGCUGCCCAAGUUCAGCUGCGGGCCAUCAUUAUUGAGAGCACAUGGUCUAUGUGCCAUCGAUUCUCUGGUGAAUGAUUCGCUGCUGCCUGGUACACGAAGAUUUAUGCUAUUUCAAGCAUGCAUGAGAACCAAUUUUCUCAUCCCUGGCCAGCCUCCACUUCUCUAAACUGAAGUCUGAGCCACGUAAGCAUGUGCUUUCCUUAUUCUGACACCAUGAUUCAGAAGAUGGGCUUCAACUUUGCCGCUUGCGAUUGGAUGAUAUGAAGCAAGUUAUUCAUGCCUCUAACUCUCCAGUUCUUCAUCUAUAAAGUGCAGAAAGUAACAUACCAACUCCAUGGGUGAAGACAAGGAAUGAUUCCAGGAGCUAACCCGUGAAGCACUUAAGCCCUCUAUUUCCAAAUCCAACAUUCCCAGCACACAAGGAACUGACAGCAGGCUGUUCCCGGGCAAGGCCACAUUUUAGGACACAGAGAAAAAGGGGCUGUGAAAUCCACAAGACUAUAAAUGCUUCCUGGUGCGGGUUUGGUCCUGAAAGGAAAAAAUAGAGUUCGUGGCCUCAAACGGGACUCUCGGGUACGGAGAGAAGGAAGAGCAACAGACCACCAAGACUUCAGAUCCAGGCUGCAGAGGUUCACAGGGGGAAUUCAUUCUGCUCUAGGCUUGGUGCUCUCAGAAGUGAUGUCGCCCAGCGGUGCAGACAGGCUCGGCGGCGGCGGCCUCGCAGCUGCCUGUGACCCAGGCCCUGGCUGGGCUUCCCUUUCGGGCUCUCCAGCAGGCUCCACGUGCCUGAGGCGCCUGGAGCCUGAAAAUAUGAUCGCCCGUUAAACAUCCCGGAUCGAGCUCUGGGUUUUAUUGCAAAGCGGGCGCCAGCUGGGCAUGGUGUCGCUCAUCUGUAAAUCCUAGCAUUCUGGGAGGCUGAGGCAGAAGGAUCGCACCUUGGAGCCCAGCCCAGGCAACUUACCAGGGCCCUGCCUCAAAAUAAAAUUAAGUAAUAAAUAGAGCUGGAAAUCAUCUCCAUACAAAGGCCUUGGGUUCAAUCCCCAGUAAAAUAUGAUAAGUAAUAGAACAACGGGCGCCGUCAUCGCGCUGGGCCGCCCAAGCCUGAGGUCGCCGUCGCUCCGCGGGCGCCGGGCCCCUUUUCAGGGCCCGAACUUGACCUUUCUCCCGGUUCACGGAACGCGAGCGGCACCGGGCUGUGGAAAAGGCCCGGAGGAGCGGCCUCCGCCAGCCCCACGCGAGCCGGCCCGGGGGUCUCGAGGGCCGCAUCCCGUGACUGUCACGAGGCUUCCGCCCCGCGCCGCGGCCGCGAGCUCGUGACCGGGUCCCGGGCUCGGAGCCGAGCGCUGGGAGGGAGCCCAGACUCGGGGGCGGAGCUACAGGUUCCGGCCCGCUCCGAAUACCCCGACGGGCGGCGCGUGCGCAGUCUCUCACUACGGGACCUCCUUCCCGCCGCGGAGACUAGGGAGCGG
ensembl:lncRNA